UUGCAAGAACUUUGAAGAGAGAGUUCAAGAGUACGUGAAACUGCUCAGAGGCAAACGGGUGGGCCCUCGAAAUCCUCUUGCGGGGGGAUUCAGUCAGGAGAGGGGGAGGUGUUCGCUGGUUGAUUCAGACGGACCCUUUCCAAGGCCGGGCCGGCAGCACGGUCUCCUUCUCACCUGACGCAUUUCCUCCCGCACUACGGACGCCGCAGCCGGUUGGGUAGCUGCGCGAGUCGGCCAUAAGGACGGGCGCCGGCAGGUGACCGGGGGCGUUGCUUCGGCGCGCCGCCGGUUGUUAGCCAGCUCGUCCGUGGCGCGACACCCGACCGAGGUUGUGAGUUCCCUUAACGGGAACGUGCCGUCCCCUCCCCACGAGUAGCGGGCGUUCCGGCAGGUGUAUCGCGGUGCCGUCUCGUCACUCUUCGCAGUGGCCGAUGGUCCGAGGUCGCUGCUGGUCGGAAAUCGUCCCGCGGGGGUUUUCCCGGGGCUAGCGGCGAGUAGGUCGGUCACCCACCCGACCCGUCUUGAAACACGGACCAAGGAGUCUAACAUGUGCGCGAGUCACGGGGUCUUGAUUAGGCCCAGAGGCGCAAUGAAAGUGAAGGCCGGCCUCGACGUCGGCUGUGUUGGGACUCUUCGCUCCUUCGCGGGCGGAGAAGCACCAACGACCCGUCCUAUCCGAUUUAUCGGUUGGGCGGAGUCUGAGCGUACACGUUGGGACCCGAAAGAUGGUGAACUAUGCCUGGGCAGGACGAAGCCAGAGGAAACUCUGGUGGAGGUCCGUAGCGGUUCUGACGUGCAAAUCGAUCGUCAGACCGGGUA
rnacentral:rRNA from 1 species